UACGGAGGGAGCUAGCGUUGUUCGGAAUUACUGGGCGUAAAGGGCGCGUAGGCGGCCUGCUAAGUCGAACGUGAAAUCCCUGGGCUCAACCCAGGAACUGCGUCCGAUACUGGUUGGCUUGAAUCCGGGAGAGGGAUGUGGAAUUCCAGGUGUAGCGGUGAAAUGCGUAGAUAUCUGGAGGAACACCGGUGGCGAAGGCGACAUCCUGGACCGGUAUUGACGCUGAGGCGCGAAAGCCAGGGGAGCAAACGGG
rnacentral:rRNA from 1 species